rnacentral:lncRNA from 1 species
CAGGGAUAAAAAGAGUUCUGCAGCCAACUGCUGGGUGUGUGUUCAGGCUCGCUCUACCUCAGGAGAACCAACUGUCAGCAUAUAGGGCUGAGCGGGCCAUCUGCUUGCUUGAAGCAUCCAUCCCUUGCCUUCUACCAGCUUUCCAAAGACAAAUGGAGCAACCACCACCACCACCAAAAGCCUCUGGAAUGCGACCUUUGUGCCCAGAGGCUGCCUGCUGGCUGGCAUCGAGGACGUCAGAGGCUCUUACUCGGAGACGCCUUGCUUGACUUCAGGCGACCAUCUCCUUUUGGACUUGGAGCUGCAGUUUUUCUGGGAAUGAAACUUAGCACAUGGAGCUACUUGGAAAGCUAUCAUGGACGCUUCAUUCUAGGCCUCUCUGGGUUGGUACCUGGCCUCGGCUUCUUUGGUCCGUACUCCAUG